UAGGGAAUCUUCCGCAAUGGGCGAAAGCCUGACGGAGCAACGCCGCGUGAGUGAUGAAGGUCUUCGGAUCGUAAAACUCUGUUAUUAGGGAAGAACAAACGUGUAAGUAACUAUGCACGUCUUGACGGUACCUAAUCAGAAAGCCACGGCUAACUACGUGCCAGCAGCCGCGGUAAUACGUUGGUGGCAAGCGUUAUCCGGAAUUAUUGGGCGUAAAGCGCGCGUAGGCGGUGUUUUAAGUCAGAUGUGAAAGCCCACGGCUCAACCGUGGAGGGUCAUUGGAAACUGGAAAACUUGAGUGCAGAAGAGGAAAAUGGAAUUCCAUGUGUAGCGGUGAAAUGCGCAGAGAUAUGGAGGAACACCAGUGGCGAAGGCGACUUUCUGGUCUGUAACUGACGCUGAUGUGCGAAAGCGUGGGGAUCAAACAGG
rnacentral:rRNA from 1 species